AGUACGGCCGCAAGGCUAAAACUCAAAGAAAUUGACGGGGGCCCGCACAAGCGGCGGAGCAUGCGGAUUAAUUCGAUGCAACGCGAAGAACCUUACCUGGGCUUGACAUGUUCCCGACAGCCGUAGAGAUACGGUCUCCCUUCGGGGCGGGUUCACAGGUGGUGCAUGGUCGUCGUCAGCUCGUGUCGUGAGAUGUUGGGUUAAGUCCCGCAACGAGCGCAACCCUCGCCCUGUGUUGCCAGCACGUCGUGGUGGGAACUCACGGGGGACCGCCGGGGUCAACUCGGAGGAAGGUGGGGAUGACGUCAGAUCAUCAUGCCCCUUACGUCCAGGGCUUCACGCAUGCUACAAUGGCCGGUACAACGGGAUGCGACACCGUGAGGUGGAGCGGAUCCCUUAAAACCGGUCUCAGUUCGGAUUGGAGUCUGCAACCCGACUCCAUGAAGGCGGAGUCGCUAGUAAUCGCGGAUCAGCAACGCCGCGGUGAAUGCGUUCCCGGGCCUUGUACACACCGCCCGUCAAGUCAUGAAAGUGGGUAGCACCCGAAGCCGGUGGCCCAACCUUUUGGGGGGGAGCCGUCUAAGGUGAGACUCGUGAUUGGGACUAAGUCGUAACAAGGUAGCCGUACCGGAAGGUGCGGCUG
rnacentral:rRNA from 1 species